GAUGAACGCUGGCGGCGUGCCUAAUACAUGCAAGUCGAGCGAACGGACGAGAAGCUUGCUUCUCUGAUGUUAGCGGCGGACGGGUGAGUAACACGUGGAUAACCUACCUAUAAGACUGGGAUAACUUCGGGAAACCGGAGCUAAUACCGGAUGAUAUUUUGAACCGCAUGGUUCAAAAGUGAAAGACGGUCUUGCUGUCACUUAUAGAUGGAUCCGCGCUGCAUUAGCUAGUUGGUAAGGUAACGGCUUACUAAGGCAACGAUGCAUAGCCGACCUGAGAGGGUGAUCGGCCACACUGGAACUGAGACACGGUCCAGACUCCUACGGGAGGCCGCAGUAGGGAAUCUUCCGCAAUGGGCGAAAGCCUGACGGAGCAACGCCGCGUGAGUGAUGAAGGUCUUCGGAUCGUAAAACUCUGUUAUUAGGGAAGAACAUAUGUGUAAGUAACUGUGCACAUCUUGACGGUAACUAAUCAGAAAGCAACGGCUAACUACGUG
rnacentral:rRNA from 1 species